rnacentral:tRNA from 1 species
GGGGCUGUGGCGCAGCUGGGAGCGCGUCUGAAUGGCAUUCAGAAGGUCGUCGGUUCGAUCCCGAUCAGCUCCA